rnacentral:piRNA from 1 species
UGGAAGCAAAGGAAGACACUCUGAGUCUAUG